GAUGAACGCUGGCGGCGUGCCUAAUACAUGCAAGUCGAGCGAACGGACGAGAAGCUUGCUUCUCUGAUGUUAGCGGCGGACGGGUGAGUAACACGUGGAUAACCUACCUAUAAGACUGGGAUAACUUCGGGAAACCGGAGCUAAUACCGGAUAAUAUUUUGAACCGCAUGGGUCAAAAGUGGAAGACGGUCUUGCUGUCACUUAUAGAUGGAUCCGCGCUGCAUUAGCUAGUUGGUAAGGUAACGGCUUACCAAGGCAACGAUGCUUAGCCGACCUGAGAGUGUGAUCGGCCACACUGGAACUGAGACACGGUCCUGACUCCUACGGGAGGCAGCAGUUGGGAAUCUUCCGCAAUGGGCGAAAGCCUGACGGAGCAACGCCGCGUGAGUGAUGAAGGUCUUCGGAUCGUAAAACUCUGUUAUUAGGGAAGAACAUAUGUGUAAUUAACUGUGCACAUCUUGACGGUACCUAAUCAGAAAGCCACGGCUAACUACGUG
rnacentral:rRNA from 1 species